AUGUCGUCCAUUGAUUGCCUUGCUAAUUCCAAUCUUUGGUCAACUCCUGCCUCCUCAGGCCUCAAUAAAGUCGUCGGCCCCAUUUCUGACCUGAGCAAGUUCCCACCUUCUCCUCCUUCCCGAGGCACCAUGAGGUCGUCGUCGAUGGCGACCGCGAUACUAUCCAUCGCCGCCGUUGUCCUCCUCCUCGCCCUCCAGGACAGCCAUGGCGCGAAACUGUGCAUGGACUCGACGUUCCCGAGGGCGGUCAACGGAUCCCUUUCCUUCUGCGGCUACAACGGCACUGCUUGCUGCAACACGACGGACGACGUCGCUGUCCGGAGGCAGUUUGCCGCAAUGAACAUCUCAGGCACGCCGUGCGGCGACCUCGUCAAGUCCAUCCUUUGCGCGAGAUGCAACCCGUACGCCGGCGAGCUCUUCACCGUCGGGACAAGCCCUCGGACGGUGCCACUGCUAUGCAACAGCACCGGCGUGUCGAGCCGUGUCAGCGGCGUGGCCGCGGCGACGGGGUACUGCGCAAAGGUGUGGGAUACCUGCAAGGACGUGUCCAUCCAGGGGUCGCCGUUCCAGUCGCCCAAGGGCGGCGCAUCGGCGCCGAAGCUCGCCGAGGUGUGGGAGUCAGAGGGCGACUUCUGCGGGGCGCUGGGCGGCGAGUCCAUCUGCUUCGACGGUGAGGCCGCGGCGUUCAAUGCGACCCGCGUCGCGCCGCCGGUGAACGGUAUGUGUCUGGAGCGCGUCAGCAACGGCUCGUACCUCAACAUGGCGGCGCACCCGGAUGGCUCCAACCGCGUGUUCCUCAGCAACCAGGCCGGCAAGGUAUUCCUUGCCACCGUGCCGCCGCAGGGCUCCGGCAAGCCGCUGGAGCUGGACGUGGCCAACCCGUUCCUUGACAUCACCGACGAGGUGCAUUUCGACAACGAGUUUGGCCUCCUCGGCAUGGCCUUCCACCCGGACUUCGCGAAGAACGGACGGUUCUUCGUCUCCUACAGCUGCGACAAAACGCAAUCGGCAUCGUGCUCCGGCAGGUGCGCCUGCAACUCCGACAUCGGCUGCGACCCGUCCAAGCUCGGCGCCGACAACGGCGCGCAGCCGUGCCAGUACCAGAGCGUGAUCGCCGAGUACACCGCCAAUUCGUCCUCCGGCUCGCCUUCGAAGGCGACCUCUGCGAACCCGACGGAGGCGAGGCGGAUCAUGACGCUCGGGCUGCCGUUCACGACCCAUCACGGUGGGCAGAUCCUCUUCAGCCCGGGAGACGGCUAUAUGUACUUCAUGAUGGGCGACGGCGGCAGCGUCGGCGACCCGUGGAACUUCGCGCAGAACAAGGGGACCCUGCUCGGGAAGAUCAUCCGGAUCGACGUCAACAACAUGCCAACUGGUAACAGCACUCCCAGUUGGGGCAACUAUGGUAUCCCCAAGGACAACCCAUUCUCCGCGGACCCCAAGUUCGCGCCGGAGGUCUUCGCCAUGGGCUUCAAGAACCCGUGGCGUUGCAGCUUCGACUCCACGAAGCCCUCCUACUUCUUCUGCGCCGACGUCGGCCAGUCUUUGUAUGAGGAAGUCGACCUAGUGGUGAAUGGCGGGAACUACGGGUGGCGCGUGUUCGAGGGCCCCCAGUCGUACCCGGCGUUGUCAACUCCCGGUGGGAACACCUCGGUCGACUCCAUCAACGCCAUAAUGCCGGUCAUGGGUUACGCCCACAACACCGUCAACAACAAUGUUGGCUCUGCCUCCAUCAUCGGCGGCUACGUCUACCGCUCCAUGACUAACCCGUGCCUCAACGGCAGGUACAUUUACGCGGACCUGUAUGCGCAGUCCAUGUGGUCGGGGAUCGAGACGCCAGAGAACAGUGGGGUGUACAAUGUGACGCCACUGACAUUCGGCUGCUCCAAGACGUCACCGAUCCCGUGCGACGUCGCGGCCAAGAGCCCGCUGCCGUCGUUGGGCUACAUCUUCUCCUUCGGCGAGGACAACGCCAAGGACUUAUACUUGCUCACCAGUAAGGGAGUGUACAGGGUGGUCGACCCCAGCAGUUGCAACUACGCAUGCCCAAUCAAGAGCUCCACGCAAGAAGGGGUGCCCCCGCCUACCUCGUCGCCAAGCUCGGCAUUCAAUGCACAAGCUUUCACCCUACCAACAACGAUGUUGACAGGAGUGUUAGUUGUGUUGCUGAGCUUGGGCUUUUGA
rnacentral:rRNA from 1 species